CCUACGGGUGGCAGCAGUGAGGAAUAUUGGUCAAUGGACGAGAGUCUGAACCAGCCAAGUAGCGUGAAGGAUGACUGCCCUAUGGGUUGUAAACUUCUUUUAUAUGGGAAUAAAAUGUUCCACGUGUGGGAUUUUGUAUGUACCAUAUGAAUAAGGAUCGGCUAACUCCGUGCCAGCAGCCGCGGUAAUACGGAGGAUCCGAGCGUUAUCCGGAUUUAUUGGGUUUAAAGGGAGCGUAGGUGGAUUGUUAAGUCAGUUGUGAAAGUUUGCGGCUCAACCGUAAAAUUGCAGUUGAAACUGGCAGUCUUGAGUACAGUAGAGGUGGGCGGAAUUCGUGGUGUAGCGGUGAAAUGCUUAGAGAUCACGAAGAACUCCGAUUGCGAAGGCAGUUCACUGGACUGCAACUGACACGGAGGCUCGAAAGUGUGGGUAUCAAACAGGAUUAGAUACCCUUGUAGUC
rnacentral:rRNA from 1 species